CCACAACACAGCCUUGAUAAUGAAGGGGCUAUGACACAAAUCAUGCUUAAGCAAUGGCAUAUGUGAUGGUCUCUGACUCUUCGGGUCGCCAAAUGGAUUUCUCAACAUAAAGCAAUCCCUCCUUGUCUUUCGAGUAGGUCAUUCGGACCUCCCAAUGCAUAGACCUCACUAUGUUCUCCAGCUCACUAACAGUCUCAACAUUGUCACGGACAAUUAGCUUUCCUUCUGGCCGAAGUAUCCGAUCAACCUCCACAACUACAGCCACUAGAUUGCACCUCUUUUUAACCUUUGAGAAGAGAUGAUCUGCAUGAAGAAGAUCAUAAGAUCUAGGGUAGGUGCUAAAUGAUUCACACCAGUCAUGAUAAAUGCCAAAAAGACCACGUUCAUAAAUUAUAGGUAGAGUAUCUGGGGAGUCUAUUGGGACUACAUUCAUGACCCACACCUUUAUAUCCUUCAGAGCUGCAGCAAAACCUCCAUAGAUAGUUCUCAUGUCCAUGACGUUUCUCACAGAUGACCAUUUUAUUCCCAUUCCAUUUAGAUAUGACUUAGAUACCACCCGCUUCCAGUGCUCAUAGUCAGCAGUGAAAUCCUCUGGUUCUGGUUUACCAUAAACUCCAACUUUGGAACUCAACAUCCAAUAAGGUACUUUCUCCAACCUCGCUGGCCAUUGCUCUGGCCAUUGAGAUCCACGUUCUACUGAAUCUACUGGAACCUUGUGCAUACAUGCUUGCAGUGGCACGUUCCAGGCUGCAUUAGGAUCAUCAGAUGCUUCACACAGUGGAGGCUCUUGUUGUGAUCUUUUCUCAUAACAGUCAUUGGAAGUAGGCUUCCUGUAUAUAGCUAUACCCACACCAUUUACUGUAUCCUUGGUAAUGGACACAAGUUCCCAGCACAUAGCUUUGGUUAGUUCAGUCAUAGCUUUCCAAAUUUGAACAUCUUCAGCAACCUUCUUCUGAUAAACAGGAGUGGCAGACCACACAAAGAAACCACCAGGUCGCAACACACGAUUCAACUCCAAAAGAAGUUUACCACCUUCAAUAUGCCAUGGGACUCUGCAUCGAGCACAGUGGACAAUAUCAAAGACUCUGCCUGGAAAAGGAAGUCUCUGUGUUCCCAUCACAGCAGAUAUAGCAGGGAUUCCUCUUUCAAGAGCAAAUUGCACUUGAGCCUCAUGUUCAUCUUUAGGGGCAAACGACAUCGUGACAACAUCCCUAUCAAAUAGAAAGCCUCCAAAGCUAGCAACACCACAACCAACAUCCAAUAUCACACGGGAGCGUUUUCCCCAUGCAAUAUCAGGCACAGACUCAUUUAUGAAGUCAAUGUAAUGUAAAGCACCAUGCUUAAACUGAGUUCCACCAC
rnacentral:misc_RNA from 1 species